GAUGAACGCUGGCGGCGUGCCUAACACAUGCAAGUCGAGCGAUCUCUUCGGAGAGAGCGGCGGACGGGUGAGUAACGCGUGGGUAACCUGCCCUGUACACACGGAUAACAUACCGAAAGGUAUACUAAUACGGGAUAACAUACGAAAGUCGCAUGGCUUUUGUAUCAAAGCUCCGGCGGUACAGGAUGGACCCGCGUCUGAUUAGCUAGUUGGUAAGGUAAUGGCUUACCAAGGCGACGAUCAGUAGCCGACCUGAGAGGGUGAUCGGCCACACUGGAACUGAGACACGGUCCAGACUCCUACGGGAGGCAGCAGUGGGGAAUAUUGCACAAUGGGCGAAAGCCUGAUGCAGCAACGCCGCGUGAGCGAUGAAGGCCUUCGGGUCGUAAAGCUCUGUCCUCAAGGAAGAUAAUGACGGUACUUGAGGAGGAAGCCCCGGCUAACUACGUGCCAGCCGCCGCGGUAA
rnacentral:rRNA from 1 species